rnacentral:rRNA from 1 species
CCGAGUGCCGACCGCUGAGGUUGGCUUUUACCCAGUCUAGAAAGCUGGGGGAAUAAGGAGAGGGCAAGUCUGGUGUCAGCCGCCGCGGUAAUACCAGCUCUCCGAGUGGUGUGGACGUUUAUUGGGCCUAAAGCAUCCGUAGCUGGCUGAACAAGUCCCCUGUUAAACCCACCGAUUUAAUCGUUGGUCUGCGGGGGAUACUGCUCGGCUAGGGGACGAGAGAGGCAGACGGUAUUCCCGGGGUAGGGGUGAAAUCCUAUAAUCCCGAGAAGACCACCAGUGGCGAAGGCUGUCUGCUAGAACGCGCCCGACGGUGAGGGAUGAAAGCUGGGGGAGCGAACCGGAUUAGAUACCCGGGUAGUCCCAGCUGUAAACGAUGCAGACUAGGUGUUUGGACGGCCACGUGCCGUUCUAGUGCCGCAGGGAAGCUGUUAAGUCUGCCGCCUGGGGAGUACGAUCGCAAGAUUGAAACUUAAAGGAAUUGGCGGGGGAGCACCACAGGGGGUGAAGCUUGCGGUUUAAUUGGAGUCAACGCCGGAAAUCUCACCGGGAGCGACAGCAGUGUGAAGGCCAGAUUAAAGGUCUUGCCAGACGAGCUGAGAGGUAGUGCAUGGCC